UACGAAGGGUGCUAGCGUUGUUCGGAAUCAUUGGGCGUAAAGCGUGCGUAGGCGGUUUGAUAAGUCAACUGUGAAAGCCCAGAGCUUAACUUUGGAAUUGCAGUCGAAACUGUCAGGCUUGAAUAUGGUCGGGGAUAGUGGAAUUCCUGGUGUAGCGGUGGAAUGCGCAGAUAUCAGGAGGAACACCGAUGGCGAAGGCAGGUCACUGGGCCGCAACUGACGCUGAGGAGCGAAAGCAUGGGGAGCGAACAGG
rnacentral:rRNA from 1 species